rnacentral:rRNA from 1 species
AACGCUAGCUACAGGCUUAACACAUGCAAGUCGAGGGGUAACAUGAAGAAAGCUUGCUUUCUUUGAUGACGACCGGCGCACGGGUGAGUAUCGCGUAUCCAACCUGCCCAUAAGUAGGGAAUAGCCUUGCGAAAGUAAGAUUAAUGCCCUAUGGUUUCCGUCAAAGACAUCUGAGAUGGAAUAAAGAUUUAUCGGUGAUGGAUGGGGAUGCGUCUGAUUAGCUUGUUGGCGGGGUAACGGCCCACCAAGGCGACGAUCAGUAGGGGUUCUGAGAGGAAGGUCCCCCACAUUGGAACUGAGACACGGUCCAAACUCCUACGGGAGGCAGCAGUGAGGAAUAUUGGUCAAUGGGCGAGAGCCUGAACCAGCCAAGUAGCGUGCAGGAUGACGGCCCUAUGGGUUGUAAACUGCUUUUAUAAGGGAAUAAAGUGAGUCUCGUGAGACUUUUUGCAUGUACCUUAUGAAUAAGGACCGGCUAAUUCCGUGCCAGCAGCCGCGGUAAUACGGAAGGUCCGGGCGUUAUCCGGAUUUAUUGGGUUUAAAGGGAGCGUAGGCCGGAGAUUAAGCGUGUUGUGAAAUGUAGACGCUCAACGUCUGCACUGCAGCGCGAACUGGUUUCCUUGAGUGCGCACAAAGUGGGCGGAAUUCGUGGUGUAGCGGUGAAAUGCUUAGAUAUCACGAAGAACUCCGAUUG